GUGCUCGCUUCAGCAGCACAUAUACUAAAAUUGGAACCAUAGAAAGAAGAUUAGCAUGGCCCCUGUGCAAGGAUGACACGCAAAUCUGUGAAGUGGUCCAUAUUUUU
ensembl:snRNA U6 U6 spliceosomal RNA